GACGAAGGAUGCAAGCGUUAUCCGGAUUCAUUGGGUUUAAAGGGCGCGUAGGCGGCCUUCUAAGUCAGUGGUGAAAUCUCUCGGCUUAACUGAGAAAUUGCCAUUGAUACUGUAGGGCUUGAGUACAGAUGCCGUUGGCGGAAUAUGACAUGUAGUGGUGAAAUACAUAGAGAUGUCAUAGAACACCGAUUGCGAAGGCAGGUUACUACUAAUGGAUUGACGCUGAUGGACGAAAGCGUGGGUAGCGAACAGG
rnacentral:rRNA from 1 species